AGCACAGACUCAGCAGUGGGAACGUGGACAGGGGCUCAGGGCUGAGCUGGGUUGCUGCCCCUCUCACCAAACCCCUCUGUGCCCCACGGUGCAGGUGAGUCGGAAGAACACA